GGAUUGUGGCUCAAUGGUAGAGCACUCGCCUAGCAUGGGUGAGGCCCUGGGUUCAAUUUUCAGCACCA
rnacentral:tRNA from 1 species